rnacentral:rRNA from 1 species
CGCCCGCUCAGAAACUCAAAGGAUUGACGGGGGCCCGCACAAGCGGUGGAGCAUGUGGUUUAAUUCGACGCAACGCGAAGAACCUUACCAGCCCUUGACAUGGGAAGUAUGGGCCGCAGAGACGCGGUCCUUUCAGUUCGGCUGGCUUCCACACAGGUGCUGCAUGGCUGUCGUCAGCUCGUGUCGUGAGAUGUUGGGUUAAGUCCCGCAACGAGCGCAACCCUCGUCUCCAGUUGCCAUCGGGUAAAGCCGGGCACUUUGGAGAAACUGCCGGUGACAAGCCGGAGGAAGGUGGGGAUGACGUCAAGUCCUCAUGGCCCUUACGGGCUGGGCUACACACGUGCUACAAUGGCGGUGACAGUGGGCAGCAACUCAGCAAUGGGGAGCUAAUCUCAAAAAGCCGUCUCAGUUCGGAUUGGGGUCUGCAACUCGACCCCAUGAAGUCGGAAUCGCUAGUAAUCGCGGAUCAGCACGCCGCGGUGAAUACGUUCCCGGGCCUU